rnacentral:rRNA from 1 species
AUGAGCUCGUUAAGUUGGAACUGCCGAGGGCUUGGGAACCCUUGGUCAGUUCGAGAGCUUCGCAAAGUGGUGAAGCAAGAAGGUCCCGCCCUUUUAUUUGUAAUGGAAACUAAAAUAAAGGGCAAGAAAGUGGAGGAGCUGAAGAGCUCCCUAGGUUUUUUCGGAUGUUUUGUCGUCGAUAGCGACGGGCUUAGUGGUGGUAUAGGUUUGUUUUGGUCAAGAGAUGUUGAUGUCACUUUACAAAAUUUCAGCAUUGCUCAUAUUGAUGUAACUAUCAAGCAGGACAAUAAAGAAUGGCGGUUUACAGGCUUUUACGGGGCGCCACGAGUGGAGAACCGACACCACAGUUGGCGUUUCCUGCGUACCUUGUUUGCUCUUCCGCGCCAAGCAUGGAUCUGCAUGGGAGAUUUUAAUGAAACCUUGUUUGCAGAAGAGCACUUUGGAACAAAUGCGAGACUGGAAAGCCAAAUGAGGGCAUUCCGAGAAGCAGCGGAGGACUGUUCUCUCCAGGAUCUGGGGUGGAGGGGAGUCCCAUUCACAUGGGAUAAUAGGCAAUCUGGAGCUGCAAACGUGAAAGCAAGGCUGGACCGGGCCCUUGCAAAUGCAGCUUUCCUAAACCUCUUCGAAUAUACCACGGUAAAACACAUUAGCAGCACUGAAUCAGACCAUUGCUAUGUUCUAGCAGAAUUCAGAUCACAUGAGGCAAGCAAAUGGUCUCGAGCAGCGAGAAGCUUUUGUUACGAGAAUGCCUGGCAGUCCCACGCGCAAUACGACGAGCUUGUUCGCUCGAUCUGGAUGAGCGGAGCUGGCCAGGGGGGGGCUCCAGGGUGUGGUUGA